UACGGGGGGGGCAAGCGUUGUUCGGAAUUACUGGGCGUAAAGGGCUCGUAGGCGGCUGACUAAGUCAGACGUGAAAUCCCCCGGCCUAACCGGGGAACUGCGUCUGAAACUGGACGGCUUGAAUUCGGGAGAGGGAUGCGGAAUUCCAGGUGUAGCGGUGAAAUGCGUAGAUAUCUGGAGGAACACCGGUGGCGAAGGCGGCAUCCUGGACCGACAUUGACGCUGAGGAGCGAAAGCCAGGGGAGCAAACGGG
rnacentral:rRNA from 1 species